AUUGCGAUCAUUUACUCUGCCACCAUUUCUAUGCGAUAUAUACGCCACCUCAAUCUUCCUGUUUUAGUCCCCUUUCUAACCAACCACGAUUUCCUGUUUGUUUUAGGGGGUUUAGGAGUACUCACCUUCGAGUAACUUUUUUUGGAUUUGGAGUCACCAGAGGUAACGGCUUUUAAGAAAUUAUCUUCCCUGUGCCAAGGUAAAGGUUUCUUCACUUCUACACUCCUGAAACUAGUAAUUAAGUAUUUGAUUUUCGAAAGUUGCAGUUGAAUUCAGUGAAAAACAAAUUUUAUUUAUGUGGCUUUAUUUCUUGAUUUUACAUAAAUUUUGUUGAAUUUGAGCUGUUGUGUUGGAUGAUGUAAGUUUUAACCUCUAAUCAACCCAUCACCUUUUUUUUGGGUUAGUGUGGUCCUAUCAGAGUUCAUGCAUUAGUUAGAUUUCCUUGGUGGUUUUGGAUUGCUUUAGACAAUCAUAUUUGACCUGCAGUUGUUGAUGCUUCUCGAUUGCUUAAGAUUAUUAUUAUUAUUAGGAACUUAUUGGACUUUGGAUAUCGUAAGCUGUCAGACCUUUCUUGAUCCCAUUCAUCUCGGAUUUGAUUCCAGGUCACUUGAUUUAACUUCAUUCAGAUUAGAUAGCACCCGUUAUAGCUUGAGAUUCUAAGUUGUUCUAGUUUUGUUUCAUGCAAAAAGCUUAGAGGAUAUGGUUUGAUAAGUUGCAGUAACAGUCGAUCACAUUAGCGCGUCAAGGUUUUGGUGAUACCUGGUUAUGUUCAUCGAACGGACGAUGCUGAAAAUCUUUGGAUUCACUUCAUAACGAAAGAAAACGGGGAAAACUUUCUGAAUCCCCUUCAGUUUUUUCAAAGAUUUUAGUCUCCUAUAUUCUCACUCUAGUUUUUCGAGGCAAGGAUGUGUGUCUUGCAAUAGAACCUAGAGUCAGACAUGUUUUAAUUAGUGCGUAUAUAUAUAAAGAUGUAAACAUGAUUCCUGGUUUAGAUAGGCAUGAAACAACCACCGUGAAUGUGUUGUUCUUGUUCACACAACGCACAAAACCAAUGAUGAAGGCACGUAGCAGCCUACUCAACAAAUGAAAUUCUCAAGCAACUUGCUUCUCGUCCCCUCCCCUCCACUUUUUAAAUCUACCAUAUUGAAGAAAUUUGUGGUACCUGGAAGGCUGGAAAGUAGAUGUGUAUGCUGACAAGGAAUCUGAUUAGUAAAUAUCAAAUGGUUAAAGCCCUAAAAGUCCAAAUAAUCAACUGUUGUGAGGUUAUUUUUGUUGGUGGAUUUGUGCUGCGGAGGAUAAUUGCCUUUGGAUGUAUGCUCAUUUUCCUUUUAUGUAAUUGAAAGUAAAGGCAAUUCCGAUGCAGGAAAGUCAAUUUAUAAGAGAGGUGGUGUAUUGUUCAAGGUGGGGUUCUAUCACUUCAGUCAUCUUUUGCAAUACAGGUGCGUGUAGCGUGAUCAUCACCGUCAAACGAGCCCUGGUAUGAGAAAAUCAUGGGCUGAUGCAAGAACAAGUGGAUUCCAUUGGAGUAGACUAGUCCUUCUCCAUUGCUGGAGAUAGAUUUAGACUUUUCUGAAGCACCCAACUCAGUUUUAUGGACAGAUUCAUGGAGCCUCUCUCAUGGGAUGCUAUGUUUGGGCUCGAGAUAAGAAAAGGUCUUACUCGUUUUAGAGGGUACUCGAAGAUGAGAUGUGCAUGGCUGAUUUGCUUAUACUUUUAGGCCUAUCUUGAUAGUCUUGACAAGAAGAACAAGUGAAUUCCGGCGGAGGAGGCUAGUCCUUCCUCGUUGUUAGGGACAAAUAUGGAUUUUUCUGAAGCAUACAAUUCAGUUUUAUUGACAAAUAGAUAUACGGAGCCUCUCUCAUGAGCUGUUGUGCUCGAGCUCAGGUUAGGGGAUGUUUAGAAUUGAUGUUUUUGUUGUUUUUUAAAGUGUAUUUUUUUAGAAAUUAAUUAAAAUAAUAUUUUAUAAUUUUAAAAAAU